rnacentral:rRNA from 1 species
UACGUAGGGUGCGAGCGUUGUCCGGAAUUACUGGGCGUAAAGAGCUCGUAGGCGGUUUGUCGCGUCUGCCGUGAAAGUCCGGGGCUCAACUCCGGAUCUGCGGUGGGUACGGGCAGACUAGAGUGAUGUAGGGGAGACUGGAAUUCCUGGUGUAGCGGUGAAAUGCGCAGAUAUCAGGAGGAACACCGGUGGCGAAGGCGGGUCUCUGGGCCGAUACUGACGCUGAGGAGCGAAAGCGUGGGGAGCAAACAGG